AGAGUUUGAUCCUGGCUCAGAUUGAACGCUGGCGGCAGGCCUAACACAUGCAAGUCGAACGGUAACAGGAAGCAGCUUGCUGCUUUGCUGACGAGUGGCGGACGGGUGAGUAAUGUCUGGGAAACUGCCUGAUGGAGGGGGAUAACUACUGGAAACGGUGGCUAAUACCGCAUAACGUCGCAAGACCAAAGAGGGGGACCUUCGGGCCUCUUGCCAUCAGAUGUGCCCAGAUGGGAUUAGCUAGUUGGUGAGGUAACGGCUCACCAAGGCGACGAUCCCUAGCUGGUCUGAGAGGAUGACCAGCCACACUGGAACUGAGACACGGUCCAGACUCCUACGGGAGGCAGCAGUGGGGAAUAUUGCACAAUGGGCGCAAGCCUGAUGCAGCCAUGCCGCGUGUAUGAAGAAGGCCUUCGGGUUGUAAAGUACUUUCAGCGGGGAGGAAGGUGUUGUGGUUAAUAACCACAGCAAUUGACGUUACCCGCAGAAGAAGCACCGGCUAACUCCGUGCCAGCAGCCGCGGUAAUACGGAGGGUGCAAGCGUUAAUCGGAAUUACUGGGCGUAAAGCGCACGCAGGCGGUCUGUCAAGUCGGAUGUGAAAUCCCCGGGCUCAACCUGGGAACUGCAUUCGAAACUGGCAGGCUUGAGUCUUGUAGAGGGGAGUAGAAUUCCAGGUGUAGCGGUGAAAUGCGUAGAGAUCUGGAGGAAUACCGGUGGCGAAGGCGGCCCCCUGGACAAAGACUGACGCUCAGGUGCGAAAGCGUGGGGGAGCAAACAGGAUUAGAUACCCUGGUAGUCCACGCCGUAAACGAUGUCUACUUGGAGGUUGUGCCCUUGAGGCGUGGCUUCCGGAGCUAACGCGUUAAGUAGACCGCCUGGGGAGUACGGCCGCAAGGUUAAAACUCAAAUGAAUUGACGGGGGCCCGCACAAGCGGUGGAGCAUGUGGUUUAAUUCGAUGCAACGCGAAGAACCUUACCUGGUCUUGACAUCCACAGAAGAAUCCAGAGAUGGAUUUGUGCCUUCGGGAACUGUGAGACAGGUGCUGCAUGGCUGUCGUCAGCUCGUGUUGUGAAAUGUUGGGUUAAGUCCCGCAACGAGCGCAACCCUUAUCCUUUGUUGCCAGCGAUUAGGUCGGGAACUCAAAGGAGACUGCCAGUGAUAAACUGGAGGAAGGUGGGGAUGACGUCAAGUCAUCAUGGCCCUUACGACCAGGGCUACACACGUGCUACAAUGGCGCAUACAAAGAGAAGCGACCUCGCGAGAGCAAGCGGACCUCAUAAAGUGCGUCGUAGUCCGGAUUGGAGUCUGCAACUCGACUCCAUGAAGUCGGAAUCGCUAGUAAUCGUGGAUCAGAAUGCCACGGUGAAUACGUUCCCGGGCCUUGUACACACCGCCCGUCACACCAUGGGAGUGGGUUGCAAAAGAAGUAGGUAGCUUAACCUUCGGGAGGGCGCUUACCACUUUGUGA
rnacentral:rRNA from 1 species